GACGAACGCUGGCGGCGUGCUUAACACAUGCAAGUCGAACGGAAAGGCCCUGCUUUUGUGGGGUGCUCGAGUGGCGAACGGGUGAGUAACACGUGAGUAACCUGCCCUUGACUUUGGGAUAACUUCAGGAAACUGGGGCUCAUACCGAAUAGGAGCUCCUGCUGCAUGGCGGGGGUUGGAAAGUUUCGGCGGUUGGGGAUGGACUCGCGGCUUAUCAGCUUGUUGGUGGGGUAGUGGCUUACCAAGGCUUUGACGGGUAGCCGGCCGGGGAGGGUGACCGACCGGAUAGGGAGGAAGUGAGGCCCCGGACACAUACGGAAGGGAGGAGGGGGUAGGAUAUAACACAGGGCGGAGGCAUGAUGGAGGAAGGCCGGGUGCGUGAGGGAGGCCUUCGGUUGGUAAACAGAGUUCGCUUGUAAGGAAAGGUAAGGAACGGAACUGGGGAAAAAGGCCCGGCCAAAUUCGGG
rnacentral:rRNA from 1 species